AGAGGGCUGGAGAGAUGGCUCAGAGGUUAA
rnacentral:piRNA from 1 species